rnacentral:rRNA from 1 species
AUUGAACGCUGGCGGCAGGCCUAACACAUGCAAGUCGAACGGUAGCACAGAGAGCUUGCUCUCGGGUGACGAGUGGCGGACGGGUGAGUAAUGUCUGGGAAACUGCCGAUGGAGGGGGAUAACUACUGGAAACGGUAGCUAAUACCGCAUAACGUCGCAAGACCAAAGUGGGGGACCUUCGGGCCUCACACCAUCGGAUGUGCCCAGAUGGGAUUAGCUAGUAGGUGGGGUAAUGGCUCACCUAGGCGACGAUCCCUAGCUGGUCUGAGAGGAUGACCAGCCACACUGGAACUGAGAAACGGUCCAGACUCCUACGGGAGGCAGCAGUGGGGAAUAUUGCACAAGGGGCGCAAGCCUGAUGCAGCUAUGCCGCGUGUAUGAAGAAGGCCUUCGGGUUGUAAAGUACUUUCAGCGGGGAGGAAGGCGGUGAAGUUAAUAACUUCACCGAUUGACGUUACCCGCAGAAGAAGCACCGGCUAACUCCGUGCCAGCCGCCGCGGUAA